AUUGAACGCUGGCGGCAGGCCUAACACAUGCAAGUCGAGCGAGCGGCGGACGGGUGAGUAAUGUCUGGGAACCUGCCUGAUGUCGUGGGAUAACUACUGGAAACUGUAGCUACUACCGCAUACCAUCAGCUUUGCCCAGAUGGGAUUAGCUAGUAGGUGGGGUAACGGCUCACCUCGGCGACGAUCCCUAGCUGGUCUGAGAGGAUGACCAGCCACACUGGAACGUAGACACGGUCCAGACUCCUACGGGAGGCAGCAGUGGGGAAUAUUGCACAAUGGGCGCAAGCCUGAUGCAGCCAUGCCGCGUGUGUGAAGAAGGCCUUCGGGUUGUAAAGCACUUUCAGCGGGGAGGCGUUACCCGCAGAAGAAGCACAGGCUAACUCCGUGCCAGCAGCCGCGGUAAUAC
rnacentral:rRNA from 1 species